CAAAAAAGAAAGCGAAUUGACUAAAGUCUAGACAGAAAUAUCUUGAUUCUUGGCACAGAGGAAUGAGUACGAUAAACGAUCAAUUGACCUUUUAAAGGUAACACGAGCAACCACUACUACCACCACCAACCACUACCACCACCAUUACCAUCACUUUCUUUUAGUAAGUUUAAUAUAUAGUCUCGGAGAAUACGCGAGAACGAAUUCGAAUGAUAUGUUAAAACGUAUUACUACUCACAAUGUAAUUCGAAGAGUAUAUCAACGAGUAUAAGAGAGACAGGUAGAGAGAAAUAAUAAAAAGGAGAAGGGGAGAGAAAGAGAGAGAAAAAAAGAAAGAGAGAAUGAUAUCACUCCUCGGGAGGAACGAUCAGCAGGGACUAAGAGAGGAACUACGCCCGUCAAGAGAUGCAUUAUCGAUCUAGUCUGGAGCCACCUUCUCUAGCUCCGUCCCUGGCACCACCCACCCACCUGUGCACCACCGUAUAGCAACAGUCGCACCUCAUUUCCCGUAGAAACGACCACCCAUGUCCCAGGGAUUGAUCCUUAUCGAAGAGAUGCGCAGCAGGAAACAACCCAUUGUUGGGGGCGGAAGGGGAGGGGCAGGCACUCCUAACGGCAGCGUAGGGCUUAAUGCUCCUCGUCGUCGUCGUCGUCGUCGUCGUCUGUGACGUAUGCUUGGAGAAACAGGCUUAAGGGAUGUUCAAAAAAGGAACCGCCCACGCGAAGAACACACUCGCUUAACUCGUUAUCCGACUCUUAAUACCAACUUCUCUGUAUUACUACUACUACUACCAUCAUCAUCACCAGUACCACCACUACCACCACCAUUGCUACCACAAAUGCGAUAACAUAUAUGAAGAGAAAUUGUUGUAGGAAUUUCGAAGAAGCGACUAAUAAAACUGCACAAGUGUAUCAAAGAUAUGUGUAUAUGUAUAUAUAUACCUUUGAUAUACCUCUAUGCAUAUAGAUAUA
rnacentral:lncRNA from 1 species